UCUCCUUCUUUCCUUUAUUUGCAUUGAGGACAUAAGAACCUGCAGACAACAUCCCAGAAUACACUCUCACGAAUGUAAGAGAUCCUACAAAUGGAUCACUCAUGAUCUUGAAAGCCAGUCCAGCAAAUGGCUCAUCAUCACUAGGAGGCCUUUCAAUGGUCACCUCUGGGUUAUCAGAAUCAGAACCUUUCAUCGGUGGCAAGUCAAGAGGUGAAGGUAGAUAGUCCACAACAGCAUCAAGCAAUGGCUGAACACCUUUGUUUUUAAAUGCUGAUCCACAUAAAACUGGGACAAAACAGCCUGAUAUGGUGCCUUUCCUAAUUAACUGCUUCAUUGUCUGCUCAUCUGGCUCGAUUCCUUCUAGAUACUUUUCCAUUACUUCAUCAUCUAAUUCAACGAUAGUCUCUAUCAACUGGUUUCUGUACUCUUGAGCAAUUUCUUGGAGAUCAGCAGGUAUGUCCUCAUAGACAAAUUUUGCACCAAGUUCCUCGCCUGACCAGAUAAUAGCUUUCAUUUUCAGCAGAUCUACAACUCCUUGAAAUUUGUCUUCUGCACCGACAGGCAACUGAAUGACUAAAGGUCUUGCGCCUAAGUUUGUAACUAUCAUAUCCCUUGUUCGGAAAAAGUUAGCUCCAAGACGAUCCAUCUUGUUGACAAAACAUAUUCUGGGGACCCCAUAUUUGUCAGCUUGUCUCCAAACAGUCUCAGAU
rnacentral:lncRNA from 1 species